GCCAGAGAUCACUACAGCCACCACCACCGCCACCACCGUCGCUCGACAGCAAGCAAACACAACAACACGGAGACAAUCUGAAAUGCAGGGAGAUUAAAAGAGAGCGAAAGAAAGAAGAGACUGUGGAAAUUCGGCGAAAGGGAAAAUGGAGUUGUGCACCAGCCCCUUCACCCCUUUAACCUCGCCCCUUCCGUUAACGCUUCUCUUCCCCAGCUGGAGAGAGAGAGUCCAGCCCUCCACCAAUGCCUUGCAUUAAUCCACACCUCAGCCAGCCCAGUCGCUCAGUCUCUACUCUUCCACAACGCACAGCAGUGGCAAAAGUUUUCCAAGCCACAAUCGCUCACCCCAGAGACGUGAAUUAGCAUGAGUUGGUAUUGAUUAGUAUAGUCUAAAAUUCUUCUCAUGAGUUUAUGAUUGUUAUCUGGGAUUGUGAUAAACGUCUGAGGAAUGUGUCCGUCUGGCAUUGGGACAGGACACCACUAAGAGGAUCAUCGGAC
rnacentral:lncRNA from 1 species